GGAGAGUGUAUAAUGGAUAUAUUCCAACAAUGGGUAAUUUGCAUUACAAAUGGAUUUGCAACACAACAUUAUGCCCUUGCUGUAAAGGAGGUACAGAAUCAAUGGAAGAUGCCUUCAGGGAUUGCACUGCAGUCAGAAAUAUCUAGAAGGAGCUAGGGAUGCAAGUAACUCAAAGGGAAGAGGAAGAGAGAUAUCGACAGUGGAUUAAAAAGUUGCUCACUAGAAUGACAAAUAUGUACAGUAAGACUAUUUUCUGUAGCAUCUGGGCGAUAUGGAUGAGGAGAAACAAGAUCCUAUAUGAGAAAAAAUUCCAAUCAGUAGAAGAUAAAACACCAUUUAUUAACAAAUACUUGAGGGAAUGGGAGGUAAAAAACAGAUUACCCGGUCAGAGAAUAGAAGAAGAAUGGUGGAGACCACCAAAACCGUCUGAAAUCAAAAUAAACUUUGACGGGGCUUUUUACAGACAAACUUCCAAAUCAGGAACUGUCAUAAUUUCCAAGGACUCAGAAGGAAAGAUCCUCAACUGUACAACGGUAGUUAAUAAUCGAAUCCCUACUCUGUUUGUAACAAAGGCAUUACCCUACUUACAAGCAGUAAAGACGAGCUUAGAUAUGGGAUUACAAAAGGUGGUGGUAGAAGGAGACGCCUUCAACAUCAUUAAGAAAAUUCAAAACAACGAAAAAGACAAAUCAAUUUUAAUUUAAUAUAUUUUUGACAUUAAAACACUAAGCAAAAGUUAUAACGAGUGCAGAUUUCAAUAGAUAUACAGAAAAUGGAAUGAAACUGCACAUGCAGUAGCCCUAGAAGCUUUGAAACUUAAUAAGAACACCUACCUGGAAGGACAACUGCCAAGAUUGAUGACAACAGUGGCUGAAAAAGAUGCCAGAGAUCUAGAACGACCUUAAAGAAGAAGAAGGAGCAAGAGUUUUACCAGACAAAGGCGCAAAUGCAUUAAAGACACAGUCUUGAUUUUAAUCAUUUUCUCGAAUGCCUAAGGAAGGAGAAACGACUGGUCUUUGGAAAGCUGGGUAGGGGGUUUUCUGAAAUGAGGCUGAGCUAAGGUUUUUAGGAGAUGAUUUCAGUUUUAUUUUAG
rnacentral:lncRNA from 1 species